rnacentral:rRNA from 1 species
GAUGAACGCUGGCGGCGUGCCUAAUACAUGCAAGUCGAGCGAACGGACGAGAAGCUUGCUUCUCUGAUGUUAGCGGCGGACGGGUGAGUAACACGUGGAUAACCUACCUAUAAGACUGGGAUAACUUCGGGAAACCGGAGCUAAUACCGGAUGAUAUUUUGAACCGCAUGGUUCAAAAGUGAAAGACGGUCUUGCUGUCACUUAUAGAUGGAUCCGCGCUGCAUUAGCUAGUUGGUAAGGUAACGGCUUACCAAGGCAACGAUGCAUAGCCGACCUGAGAGUGUGAUCGGCCACACUGGAACUGAGACACGGUCCAGACUCCUACGGGAGGCAGCAGUAGGGAAUCUUCCGCAAUGGGCGAAAGCCUGACGGAGCAACGCCGCGUGAGUGAUGAAGGUCUUCGGAUCGUAAAACUCUGUUAUUAGGGAAGAACAUAUGUAAGUAACUGUGCACAUCUUGACGGUACCUAAUCAGAAAGCCACGGCUAACUACGUG